UCCGACGUCGUUCAUCGGUUAGGAUACGUGGUUUUCAUCCACGGGAGCGGGGUUCGACUCCCCGCGUCGGAG
rfam:Tritrichomonas foetus strain K scaffold_108, whole genome shotgun sequence.